UACGAAGGGGGCUAGCGUUGCUCGGAAUUACUGGGCGUAAAGGGCGCGUAGGCGGAUAGUUAAGUUGGGGGUGAAAGCCCGGGGCUCAACCUCGGAAUUGCCUUCAAUACUGGCUAUCUUGAGUACGGGAGAGGUGUGUGGAACUCCGAGCGUAGAGGUGAAAUUCGUAGAUAUUCGGAAGAACACCAGUGGCGAAGGCGACACACUGGCCCGUUACUGACGCUGAGGCGCGAAAGCGUGGGGAGCAAACAGG
rnacentral:rRNA from 1 species